rnacentral:lncRNA from 1 species
CAGAUAAUUUACGAAUCUCAGACUUCAAAAAUACAAUCUCCUGCCGCAAGAUAGAGAACUGUCUACAGAUUAGACAACAACCAAACCUCCAAAAAGUGGAACGUGAAACAAAUGCAUAGCAAUUGUUACACUGAACUAAGUCUGCCAUUCCAAUUAGGAGAAUAAUUUAAAUCUAACAAAUCUUAACUUCAUAUUUAUCCUCCUGAAUACCUCAGAUUACCUCCAG